AACGAACGCUGGCGGCAUGCCUAACACAUGCAAGUCGAACGAGACCUUCGGGUCUAGUGGCGCACGGGUGCGUAACGCGUGGGAACCUGCCCUUAGGUUCGGAAUAACUCCCCGAAAGGGGUGCUAAUACCGGAUAAUGUCUUCGGACCAAAGAUUUAUCGCCUUUGGAUGGGCCCGCGUUGGAUUAGCUAUUUGGUAGGGUAAAAGCCUACCAAGGCGACGAUCCAUAGCUGGUCUGAGAGGAUGAUCAGCCACACUGGGACUGAGACACGGCCCAGACUCCUACGGGAGGCAGCAGUGGGGAAUAUUGGACAAUGGGCGGAAGCCUGAUCCAGCAAUGCCGCGUGAGUGAUGAAGGCCUUAGGGUUGUAAAGCUCUUUUACCCGGGAUGAUAAUGACAGUACCGGGAGAAUAAGCUCCGGCUAACUCCGUG
rnacentral:rRNA from 1 species